rnacentral:lncRNA from 1 species
UUGAAACCCUUAGUUCAUUUUUUCCCUUUCCCCUAUUCACCAUAAACCCCAUCUUCAAGAGCAAGAGAAGGCUUGGAGUUGUUUGUUGAUCAUUGAAAGGUGGAUUCUAAAGUGAUUGAAGACUGAAGACCAUCACCUCUUGAAGAUGUGCUUCCAACCUUCUUUCUCUUUGUUCUCCAUGGUCAUGGUAGGCUAAGUCUUUGUUAGUUGUUGGGUUGGUCGAGAUGUAGCUGCUAUGAUGUUGUUGGG